UACGUAGAUGGCAAGCGUUGUCCGGAUUUAUUGGGUUUAAAGGGUGCGUAGGUGGUCUAUUAAGUCAGUGCUGAAAUAUCCCGGCUUAACCGGGAGGGUGGCAUUGAUACUGAUGGACUUGAGUAUAGUUGAGGUAGGCGGAAUUGACGGUGUAGCGGUGAAAUGCUUAGAUAUCGUCAAGAACACCGAUAGUAAAGACAGCUUACUAAACUAUAACUGACGCUGAGGCACGAAAGUGUGGGGAUCAAACAGG
rnacentral:rRNA from 1 species